UUAAGCGACUAAGCGUACACGGUGGAUGCCCUGGCAGUCAGAGGCGAUGAAGGACGUGCUAAUCUGCGAAAAGCGUCGGUAAGGUGAUAUGAACCGUUAUAACCGGCGAUGUCCGAAUGGGGAAACCCAGUGCAAUUCGUUGCACUAUCGUUAACUGAAUACAUAGGUUAACGAGGCGAACCGGGGGAACUGAAACAUCUAAGUACCCCGAGGAAAAGAAAUCAACCGAGAUUCCCCCAGUAGCGGCGAGCGAACGGGGAGCAGCCCAGAGUCUGAAUCAGCUUGUGUGUUAGUGGAACGGUCUGGAAAGUCCGACGGUACAGGGUGAUAGUCCCGUACACCAAAAUGCACAGGCUGUGAACUCGAAGAGUAGGGCGGGACACGUGGUAUCCUGUCUGAAUAUGGGGGGACCAUCCUCCAAGGCUAAAUACUCCUGACUGACCGAUAGUGAACCAGUACCGUGAGGGAAAGGCGAAAAGAACCCCGGCGAGGGGAGUGAAAAAGAACCUGAAACCGUGUACGUACAAGCAGUGGGAGCACCUUCGGGUGUGACUGCGUACCUUUUGUAUAAUGGGUCAGCGACUUAUAUUCUGUAGCAAGGUUAACCGUAUAGGGGAGCCGCAGGGAAACCGAGUCUUAACUGGGCGUUAAGUUGCAGGGUAUAGACCCGAAACCCGGUGAUCUAGCCAUGGGCAGGUUGAAGGUUGGGUAACACUAACUGGAGGACCGAACCGACUAAUGUUGAAAAAUUAGCGGAUGACUUGUGGCUGGGGGUGAAAGGCCAAUCAAACCGGGAGAUAGCUGGUUCUCCCCGAAAGCUAUUUAGGUAGCGCCUCGUGAACUCAUCUUCGGGGGUAGAGCACUGUUUCGGCUAGGGGGUCAUCCCGACUUACCAACCCGAUGCAAACUACGAAUACCGAAGAAUGUUAUCACGGGAGACACACGGCGGGUGCUAACGUCCGUCGUGAAGAGGGAAACAACCCAGACCGCCAGCUAAGGUCCCAAAGUCAUGGUUAAGUGGGAAACGAUGUGGGAAGGCACAGACAGCCAGGAUGUUGGCUUAGAAGCAGCCAUCAUUUAAAGAAAGCGUAAUAGCUCACUGGUCGAGUCGGCCUGCGCGGAAGAUGUAACGGGGCUAAACCAUGCACCGAAGCUGCGGCAGCGACACUAUGUGUUGUUGGGUAGGGGAGCGUUCUGUAAGCCUGCGAAGGUGNUGCUGGAGGUAUCAGAAGUGCGAAUGCUGACAUAAGUAACGAUAAAGCGGGUGAAAAGCCCGCUCGCCGGAAGACCAAGGGUUCCUGUCCAACGUUAAUCGGGGCAGGGUGAGUCGACCCCUAAGGCGAGGCCGAAAGGCGUAGUCGAUGGGAAACAGGUUAAUAUUCCUGUACUUGGUGUUACUGCGAAGGGGGGACGGAGAAGGCUAUGUUAGCCGGGCGACGGUUGUCCCGGUUUAAGCAUGUAGGCUGGUUAUCCAGGCAAAUCCGGAUAAUCAAGGCUGAGGUGUGAUGACGAGGCACUACGGUGCUGAAGUAACAAAUGCCCUGCUUCCAGGAAAAGCCUCUAAGCAUCAGGUAACAUCAAAUCGUACCCCAAACCGACACAGGUGGUCAGGUAGAGAAUACCAAGGCGCUUGAGAGAACUCGGGUGAAGGAACUAGGCAAAAUGGUGCCGUAACUUCGGGAGAAGGCACGCUGGUGUGUAGGUGAAGUCCCUGCGGAUGGAGCUGAGACCAGUCGAAGAUACCAGCUGGCUGCAACUGUUUAUUAAAAACACAGCACUGUGCAAACACGAAAGUGGACGUAUACGGUGUGACGCCUGCCCGGUGCCGGAAGGUUAAUUGAUGGGGUUAUCCGUAAGGAGAAGCUCUUGAUCGAAGCCCCGGUAAACGGCGGCCGUAACUAUAACGGUCCUAAGGUAGCGAAAUUCCUUGUCGGGUAAGUUCCGACCUGCACGAAUGGCGUAAUGAUGGCCAGGCUGUCUCCACCCGAGACUCAGUGAAAUUGAACUCGCUGUGAAGAUGCAGUGUACCCGCGGCAAGACGGAAAGACCCCGUGAACCUUUACUAUAGCUUGACACUGAACAUUGAGCCUUGAUGUGUAGGAUAGGUGGGAGGCUUUGAAGCGUGGACGCCAGUCUGCGUGGAGCCAACCUUGAAAUACCACCCUUUAAUGUUUGAUGUUCUAACGUUGGCCCCUGACCGGGGUUGCGGACAGUGUCUGGUGGGUAGUUUGACUGGGGCGGUCUCCUCCCAAAGCGUAACGGAGGAGCACGAAGGUUAGCUAAUCCUGGUCGGACAUCAGGAGGUUAGUGCAAUGGCAUAAGCUAGCUUGACUGCGAGCGUGACGGCGCGAGCAGGUGCGAAAGCAGGUCAUAGUGAUCCGGUGGUUCUGAAUGGAAGGGCCAUCGCUCAACGGAUAAAAGGUACUCCGGGGAUAACAGGCUGAUACCGCCCAAGAGUUCAUAUCGACGGCGGUGUUUGGCACCUCGAUGUCGGCUCAUCACAUCCUGGGGCUGAAGUAGGUCCCAAGGGUAUGGCUGUUCGCCAUUUAAAGUGGUACGCGAGCUGGGUUUAGAACGUCGUGAGACAGUUCGGUCCCUAUCUGCCGUGGGCGCUGGAGAAUUGAGGGGGGCUGCUCCUAGUACGAGAGGACCGGAGUGGACGCAUCACUGGUGUUCGGGUUGUCAUGCCAAUGGCACUGCCCGGUAGCUAAAUGCGGAAGAGAUAAGUGCUGAAAGCAUCUAAGCACGAAACUUGCCCCGAGAUGAGUUCUCCCUGAGACUUUAAGUCUCCUGAAGGAACGUUAAAGACGAUGACGUUGAUAGGCCGGGUGUGUAAGCGCAGCGAUGCGUUGAGCUAACCGGUACUAAUGAACCGUGAGGCUUAACCUU
rnacentral:rRNA from 1 species